CCUACGGGAGGCUGCAGUGGGGAAUAUUGGACAAUGGGCGAAAGCCUGAUCCAGCCAUGCCGCGUGUGUGAAGAAGGCCUUCGGGUUGUAAAGCACUUUCAGUGGGGAAGAAAGCCUUGGGGCUAAUACCCUCGAGGAAGGACAUCACCCACAGAAGAAGCACCGGCAAACUCCGUGCCAGCAGCCGCGGUAAUACGGAGGGUGCGAGCGUUAAUCGGAAUUACUGGGCGUAAAGCGCGCGUAGGCGGUCUGAUAAGCCGGUUGUGAAAGCCCCGGGCUCAACCUGGGAACGGCAUCCGGAACUGUCAGGCUAGAGUGCAGGAGAGGAAGGUAGAAUUCCCGGUGUAGCGGUGAAAUGCGUAGAGAUCGGGAGGAAUACCAGUGGCGAAGGCGGCCUUCUGGACUGACACUGACGCUGAGGUGCGAAAGCGUGGGUAGCAAACAGGAUUAGAUACCCGUGUAGUC
rnacentral:rRNA from 1 species